UUUAAUUCGAAGCAACGCGAAGAACCUUACCAGGUCUUGACAUCCCCUGACAACCCGAGAGAUCGGGCGUUCCCCCUUCGGGGGGACAGGGUGACAGGUGGUGCAUGGUUGUCGUCAGCUCGUGUCGUGAGAUGUUGGGUUAAGUCCCGCAACGAGCGCAACCCUCGACCUUAGUUGCCAGCAUUCAGUUGGGCACUCUAAGGUGACUGCCGGCUAAAAGUCGGAGGAAGGUGGGGAUGACGUCAAAUCAUCAUGCCCCUUAUGACCUGGGCUACACACGUGCUACAAUGGGCGGUACAAAGGGUCGCGAACCCGCGAGGGGGAGCCAAUCCCAAAAAGCCGCUCUCAGUUCGGAUUGCAGGCUGCAACUCGCCUGCAUGAAGUCGGAAUCGCUAGUAAUCGCGGAUCAGCAUGCCG
rnacentral:rRNA from 1 species